rnacentral:lncRNA from 1 species
AUUAGCUGGUUCGAUUAAUUCAUUCGAUCCUUUCGUGUAAUUAAUGGAUGGGAUUGGUUUGAUUGAGGCUUCUGGAGCGGUGCUAAUCGGCUUUUUUACCCUCCUGCCUGAAUCCCGUGGGGAUGUGCCUUUCCCGAGGUAAAGCGGGCUGGGGGUGCGGAGCCGGCUCGGGGGCGGGGCUGAGCGCGGCGCUGCCCGCCCUGACCCCGCUGUGCCCGCGUUCUCUCUGCCCAGGACUGGAUCCUGCACCAGAACAACCCCGAGCACCUCGAGAGCUGCCGCAGGCUGCGCCAACAAUAUCCCGAGUGGAAUCCUGAGGCUCACUCCUCCAGCAGACAUGGCGCAGAGCGCAAGGAGAACCGCACCCCUCGCCGCCGCUCGCUCUCUCCGCUCAGCCCGUCCCGCCGCCACUACCGCCUUCCUCCUCCUCCCUCCUCCUCCUCCCUCUUCCUCCUGCGCCCGGCUCCGCGCGCCGCCGCUGCGCUCGCGCUCCCGCAGCCCCGCCGGC